rnacentral:snoRNA from 1 species
GUGUACUGAAAUUUCAUUGUCUUUUUUCUUCAUGUCAAGAGAAAAGAUAUUUCUGACGUGCCAAAUACACCUUAGGAGGUAAAUUAGCAGCAUGGCUCAUUUAGCCAUUGCUGUCGGCCACCUUCAGACAAGG